UCCAGACUCCUACGGGAGGCAGCAGUGGGGAAUAUUGCACAAUGGGGGAAACCCUGAUGCAGCGACGCCGCGUGAGUGAAGAAGUAUUUCGGUAUGUAAAGCUCUAUCAGCAGGGAAGAUAAUGACGGUACCUGACUAAGAAGCCCCGGCUAACUACGUGCCAGCAGCCGCGGUAAUACGUAGGGGGCAAGCGUUAUCCGGAUUUACUGGGUGUAAAGGGUGCGCAGGUGGCAGGGCAAGUCAGAUGUGAAAGCCCGGGGCUCAACCCCGGUAUUGCAUUUGAAACUGUCCGGCUAGAGUGCAGGAGAGGUAAGCGGAAUUCCUAGUGUAGCGGUGAAAUGCGUAGAUAUUAGGAGGAACACCAGUGGCGAAGGCGGCUUACUGGACUGUAACUGACACUGAGGCACGAAAGCGUGGGGAGCAAACAGGAUUAGAUACCCGGGUA
rnacentral:rRNA from 1 species